GCAGGUCUUUCUUGUAUAUCCCUCGUGUUGAGAGCAACUUCCUCGAAUAUCAACGCAGGGAGCCGCGAGGAGAGGACUUCCAGGGCUCGAUCUACGGCUGCGUCCCGUGGUUUGGUAGAAUAGACACUUCCAAGGAUAGUCUACACACACAAACCCAAUCUCCUUUUCUUAGGGUUAUGGUGGCACUAUGUUUAAAUUUACUUCCCCUCCCCUUCAACCUGCCCCAACUCCCUAUAUAUAUUAUCAAAUAGAAGAGUCAAAUAUAAGAAAUGGUAUGUUUAAAUUUACUUCCCCUCCCCUUCCACCUGCCCCAACUCCCUAUAUAUAUUAUCAAAUAGAAGAGUCAAAUAUAAGAAAUGUAGUAAUCCUACCCAUUGUGAGAGGCAUCUUCCACUUUGUAAUUGAACGGUUCCAAAC
rnacentral:lncRNA from 1 species